GAAGAAUUUUAAUAUGUUGAAACUAAGAACGCAUUGGUUAGAAUCAAUAAUUUAUGUAUGUAUCAAAUCAAUUCAUUCCCAUGUUAGUUUCUAAACCAGUAUAUUUUUAAAACAACAAAAUUUCUAGUUGAAUGAAAAUAUGGUAGUAGAUUUUCGCUUCAACAAUUUACAAUUAUUAUUUCUAUAAUUGUGAUUUUUAGAAUCUACAAUAUUUUUUAUUUAUGGUCGCCAUCAUGUAUUUGUGAGAAAAAGUGACGCGAACGAAAUGAAUAGAGCUGAAAGUAUAUCCGGUGAAAAACGAUAAGAAUUCAUUAAAUUGCUGCAAAUUUUUGAUUUAUCAGACGCCAAUAUGUGCCGAAGAAAUGGAAAUUAUACUUUUAGCGGCGGGAGGAAAACUAUCGCACAAGAAAAGCAAAAGAAUGUGCCGUCCGGGUUAUUCAGCAACGACAACGGCUGGUGAAAUUUGAUGUGAGCUGCUCACAACCUAUGGAACCAUCCAGAGAUGAACUUUGUUCUAGAACAUCACAAUCAUUCAUUCUGAUUAGAUAAACAUGAUUAUAUAAUAAACGAGCAAGCAUCAAUAAAAA
rnacentral:lncRNA from 1 species